CUAAAUCUGCUUCUGCUAUAUCGUCCGACUCAAUCUCCACCUCAGCAGACAACUUCUCUCCAGAUUUAAGGGUCCUGAGGGAGACCAAUAAAUUAGCUGAAAUGGAAGAGCCACCUUUGCUACCAGGAGAAACCAUUAAAGACAUGGCUAAGGAUGUUACUUACAUCUGCCCCUUCACUGGAGCAAUCAGAGGAACCCUUACUGUUACCAAUUAUAGACUGUAUUUUAAAAGCAUGGAACGGGACCCUCCUUUUGUCCUAGAUGCAUCUUUAGGUGUAAUCAACAGAGUGGAGAAAAUUGGAGGUGCUUCCAGUCGCGGUGAGAAUUCAUAUGGGCUGGAGAUUGUAUGCAAGGAUAUUCGAAAUUUGCGAUUUGCUCAUAAACCUGAAGGGAGAACUAGACGAUCCAUAUUUGAGAACCUAAUGAAAUAUGCUUUCCCAGUUUCAAAUAAUCUGCCACUUUUUGCAUUUGAGUACAAAGAGGUUUUCCCAGAAAAUGGAUGGAAGGUGUAUGACCCCACUUGGGAGUACAGAAGACAGGGAAUUCCCAAUGAAAGCUGGAGGUUGACCAAGAUUAAUGAGCGCUAUGAACUGUGUGAUACGUACCCUGCCAUUCUAGCUGUGCCUGUAAACAUUCCGGAUGAAGAAUUAAAGAGAGUAGCAUCUUUCAGAUCAAGAGGACGCAUACCAGUAUUGUCAUGGAUUCACCCAGAAAGUCAAGCAACGAUCACUCGCUGUAGCCAGCCAAUGGUGGGAGUGAGUGGCAAGCGAAGCAAGGAAGAUGAAAAGUACCUUCAAGCCAUCAUGGAUUCUAAUGCUCAAUCCCAUAAAAUCUUCAUAUUUGAUGCAAGGCCUAGUGUGAAUGCUGUAGCCAAUAAGGCUAAAGGAGGGGGCUAUGAGAGUGAGGAUGCCUAUCAGAAUGCAGAAUUAGUGUUCCUGGACAUUCACAAUAUUCAUGUUAUGAGAGAGUCGCUGAGAAAACUGAAAGAAAUUGUGUAUCCCAAUAUCGAGGAGACUCACUGGCUGUCUAAUUUAGAGUCAACUCACUGGCUGGAGCAUAUCAAGCUCAUUCUCGCUGGAGCCCUUCGAAUAGCUGACAAGGUGGAGUCGGGGAAGACAUCUGUGGUUGUACACUGCAGUGAUGGCUGGGACCGGACAGCCCAGCUGACCUCUCUCUCUCUGCUCAUGUUAGAUGGCUACUACCGAACUAUCAGGGGCUUUGAAGUGUUAGUGGAGAAGGAGUGGCUGAGCUUCGGCCACAGAUUUCAGCUGAGAGUUGGCCAUGGAGAUAAGAAUCAUGCAGAUGCGGAUCGCUCUCCCGUCUUUCUCCAGUUCAUCGACUGUGUCUGGCAAAUGACAAGACAGUUUCCUACAGCAUUUGAGUUCAAUGAGUACUUCCUGAUAACCAUCCUGGAUCACCUGUACAGCUGUUUGUUUGGGACAUUCCUGUGCAGCAGUGAGCAGCAGAGAGUGAAGGAGGUAAGACAGCUUCUCUCCAAGGUGAAGGCCAGGUACUGCGAUGGCUUUAGCUGGCCAGCUGCUACUAGAGAAGUUGUUUCAGCACUCAAAGAUAGUGGUAGAUGCAGGUCUGGGUAAUGCCAAGCCCCCUUCUUAACAGCUGGGACAUGGGGUAUUUUCCUCUUCGCACAAACUGCUGUCUGUUGGAGACUUCACAUUUCAGAGCAAUACCAUUUCCCUCUGGGCAGUCCCACUGCUUUCAGCAUGGCUUUCAGCUACUCACUGGUGGCUGAAUAGCUCCUGGUGUCUCCCAGGUAGUUGGAAAUGCAGUUUUUCUUUGAACUUCAGUUUAAUGUAACCUUCUCUGGGGAAACCGGUACCUUUUUGUCCUCCCUUUUCCUUGAAGAGGUCCCUUGAGGUUGCUUUUAACUACCCAGUGUGCAUUGUCAUUCUGCACACAUAGGUUACAGCAAGUAACUGGUCUCAGUGUGUGUUCUUGCUGUGCUUGCAUUUUUCCGGGAGAGGACAGAGCUGCUAGUAUUAGGAAGGACAUGCCUCUAGGUCCUGCCACUAGCCAGCUCUGCCCUGCAGUCUGGUGGAGGUUUGUUUGCCAAGGGAGGAGCAUAUAGAUGUGUACAUUCAGACCCAGCCUGGAAUCAGAAAGAGAAGCAGUGACCCUCAUUCUGUCUCACCUACCUAAAGAUGAAGCAUUUUGUCACCAGAAUGUUGCAACUCAACAUCACAGAGCAAGUCUUCCAGGAGCACUUUAAAGAGGUGAAGUUUAACUAAAGCAUUGAGAGUUCACAUGCCAGCGUCCCCUUGCUGUGCCAAUGACGAUUCCUGGUCUGUGUUGGCAGCUGGGUGGGUAAGAGGGGAUGUUUCCAUGCCAGGCUGUGUGUGUGCCUGCCUGCAUGCAUGUGCUUUGAUUACAACCACCACAUCAAAAGAAUGGGGUUUUUUUUCUUAAGCUACAAAAGGGCAACCAGCUCUGUAUUAAUGACAGGCAUACGUAUAUGCUGUUAUACUCUGUAGAUAAAUGCUGGGAUUUGUAUGGGAAAUAAGGCCUCCUCCACCCCCUUCCCUUACAGAGCCUUCCAAAAAAGACCGUUUCGCUUUGGUCUUACAUCAACAGCCAACUGGAAGACUUCACUAACCCCUUGUACGUGAGCUACUCCAACCAC